GCAGAACGCGAAGAACCUUACCAAGGCAUGACAUGUAGGAGGAAACGGCUAGAAAUAGUCGCCCCGCAAGGUCUCCUACACAGGUGGUGCAUGGUUGUCGUCAGCUCGUGUCGUGAGAUGUUCGGUUAAGUCCGGCAACGAGCGCAACCCUCGUCCUAUGUUGCCAGCGGGUAAUGCCGGGAACUCAUGGGAUACUGCCGUGGUCAACACGGAGGAAGGUGGGGAUGAGGUCAAAUCAUCAUGCCCCUUAAGUCUUGGGCUUCACGCAUGCUACAAUGGCCGAUACAAAGGGCUGCGAUACCGCAAGGUGGAGCGAAUCCCAAAAAGUCGGUCUCAGUUCGGAUUGGGGUCUGCAACUCGACCCCAUGAAGUCGGAGUCGCUAGUAAUCGCAGAUCAGCAACGCUGCGGUGAAUACGUUCCCGGGUCUUGUACACACCG
rnacentral:rRNA from 1 species